UUUUUUUUUUUUUUGCCAUCCUAAGUUAUGAUACCUGCAAGAAACCUUGACUCUCAUUUAUUUUGUACAGGAAUUCAAUAGCCAUGUUAGAAGGGUUCCAGGUCAGUCCAAUUUGGCAUCAAGGAUUUAUUCGUGAUGAUGGAAGGCAUGCCAUUUAUUCAUUACAGCAGGAUCUAAAUUUUGUAGUAUUUAUUUAGGAGUAAGUAGAUAAGGUGGCUAUGGUUGCAUUUUAAGUGGCAUGAUAUUUGUUUGGAUUAUUUGCUGAAAAUGAUCACUGAAAUCUUCAAUGAACUAAAAUUGAUUGGUUCUUACUUAUGCUGCUAGAAAGUCUCUGCUUUCUUGGUUAGGUGCUUUUGCUACAGCUACAGUUACAAGCUUACUUCUCAUGCUUGUAGUUCAUCAAAAUCUGAAACUGUCCUUAUUUACAGCAAAUCCUGCAUUAUGAAGUCUAUUUGACACACAAUGGAAUUUUGUUCCUUGAUUUUCAAGAAGUCUUAACUUUCAUCCUAUUCAGGUGGUUGCUAAGCUAGAUGAAUCGUUUAUCACUCACUUCUGUCACAUCUCUGUUUUUUUGCAGCAGUAGUAAGUAGCAGGAUUCUUGCUGGCUCACAGGUUUUCUGCUUUUACAUAGUGCAUGGCAAGAUUGUUGUUUCUUGUGCAGCUGAUAUACUCAUAUGACUUUGUGUCAUAUUACUCUGGCUCUCUUUGAUAGUACUGCUGGUAGCUUCAAGAGUUUAUGAUAGGUUGAUCUUGAAUUGCUCCCAUUUGUUGACUUAGGCAGCCAUUUUAGAUUGGUACAUUUUAAGGCAGGUCCACGUGGAUUAAUGUGUUGCCCAUUUGAAUGACAUUGUAUGCUUUUCAACAGCCUCUGUAGCAUCUUUUGUUCGAGCUGGCAACUGACAGGACUUCUAGCUUAUAGCUUAUUGCUAGCAUUCCAUUUGGAUUGCUGGACAGCCAAAUUAUUCAAAAAUUUCCUUGUCCAAUUCUUAGAAUAAUUUUGGUCUAUUUUCUACUCUCUUCUUAGAACUCUGUUUGCACUUCAGCUGAAUAGAUGUGUAUGCAUUUUGUUUGGAAACUCUUGCCAGCAAGUUGAUUCUGGAAGUCUUGAAGUCCUGAAAAAUCCAAAAUUGGCUUUAUAAUCCUGAAAAACUCAUGUAGAAGUUGUUUACCUGUAAUCUGACAUAAGCUAUUUUGUAAAAACUUAUGAAUUAGAUCAUAUCAGUACUUAUCGUAUCAGUCCUUUAAGAUUCCAUUAGCAUGAAUGAUUUUGCAUUGUGCAGCUUGCUUCUUUCUGCAUACUGAGCAAAAAUUCAUUGUGUGAAGAGAUAGGGCCUUCUAAUUCUAAAUGGUUGUGAUGCUUGUGCAUAGGUCUGCACCAUGAGAGUAGAGAAGCACCUGAAUGAAAUAGUGAAUAGGUUGAACAAGACAAAAGUCGAAAGGAAGCCUGACUUGAAAGAUUUGAAUAUGUUUUUUGAAUAAACAUAGGAAGAUUUGCAGAAUCUCUGCUCCCUGCACCUUGGAAUACAUUUCCCAGCCCCCUUUUGACAGUUUUGUCAGCAAUGCUCCUCACUAAAGCGUCGUUUUUACUAACUGUACUGUUUUGCAGAUUGCAUUAGUAUACAAACUAUAUUUGAUCAUGGUGUCUCUUAUCUAGAAUGUUGAUGUUAAAUCACUCCGAGACAUGGUUUCUUACUUCUUCGGAAACUGGUACAUGAUAGCACAACAGCAUUACUAGUUUGUGUAUGAAGCAUUACUUUCCAUCUGCUGAAUUUUACUUUAUUGGCCCCUUGAGUACAAUUCUCUCCAGUCUAGGAACUACAACAAUCAGUUGUUGAAAAGUAAUCUUGUUGAUGGGGUUUGUCAAACUAAAUUACAAAAAUAAUAUUUGCAAAAAUACAUGGUUUUAGUUUGUGUUUGUGUUGUGUUUGCUUAUUUGUUGUAUCCAUUUGAUAUGUUUUCUUAGUGGGUAUAAUUUGGAUCUCAUGAUUGGAAAGUUGUUCAAUCCGUUAGUGAGUACAAGAUUGGCAAUGUGGUUUUCUAUCAUUGUGCUUUGUUUACUGCUUGUUCAAUCCCAUGAUUCCAGGUUCCCAUCUUACCCUUAUGUUAGUCAUACUCAACAUUUCACGAACUUGACAUGCAAUGGUCUAUGGCCAUGGUUCAAAUUAUUAAUUGGUUAAAUGUGACAUGGGCAAAGUACUUCAAUGAGGUUUUUUUAGAA